rnacentral:lncRNA from 1 species
GCGCAUCUGUAUGCUAUUUAUCAUUAGACUGCUCCUUAAACAAUCUUGUCCAUCUCAUAUACUAAUAAUGGAACCACCGCAACUUUCAUCACAAUACAUUAGUGAUUAAACCACGAUGAUCAACAUAUUAAUACACUUAAUGACAUAGAUCAAAUAUGGAUGAGUAGCAUGGAAAUUUACAUGAAAUGUGAUCUCAAACAUGCCUAUUUCCAACUGGUCCUUCUUUAGUCUUUAGUGAGAUCAUUCCA